rnacentral:misc_RNA from 1 species
GUGAAUCAUCGAAUUUUUGAACGCAAAUUGCACUCUCUGGCAUUCCGGAGAGUAUGCCUGUUUGAGGGUCGGUUUAAAUAAAAAUCGGGGUGGUUCUUGUUUUUGAUGCUGCGGAAUUGGGUUAUCGUUGACUUGUUAAAGGUUUUGAGUGAUCUAAAAUUGAUACCUUUUUCUUGUCAGACGUACAUAAAAAUUUUGUUUUUUCGGUA